GAUUAGAUCUCAAAUCAGGUAGGACUACCCGCU
rnacentral:rRNA from 1 species